UACAGAGGGGGGCAAGCGUUAUUCGGAAUUAUUGGGCGUAAAGGGCGCGUAGGCGGCUUUGCAAGUGGCGGGUGAAAUCCCUCGGCUUAACCGAGGAACUGCCUGCCAGACUGUGAGGCUUGAGACCGGGAGAGGUGAGUGGAAUUCCCAGUGUAGCGGUGAAAUGCGUAGAUAUUGGGAGGAACACCAGUGGCGAAGGCGGCUCACUGGACCGGAACUGACGCUGAGGCGCGAAAGCGUGGGGAGCAAACAGGG
rnacentral:rRNA from 1 species